GCAGUCUUUUCAGUGAAGUAGUGUUAUUAGCCAGAUGAAACUUAAAGUAGUUUUACUGUGGUAUUCUAUUCUAACAUCUGCACUGUAGCACUACCCAGAUGCUCACUAUAAAGUUCAAUGGAUCCUGACAAACAUUAAGUUGAUUUCAGUGGCUAUACUGUUAGGAGUUAUUGAAAAGUAAGGGAAAUCAGUUUUUACCAAAUUUCACCCAUGUCAACACAUUUUUAUUUACAUUAUCAUCACAAAUGGCAUUUAUUAUCUCUAUAAUGACCAAAUAAAUUGUUGAAAGCAAUCUCAAGAUUGAAGCUUAAAAUACAAACGACCAGCUUUCCUAUAACUUGUCAGACAUG
rnacentral:lncRNA from 1 species